GACGAACGCUGGCGGCGUGCUUAACACAUGCAAGUCGAACGGAAAGGCCCUGCUUGCAGGGUACUCGAGUGGCGAACGGGUGAGUAACACGUGGGUGAUCUGCCCUGCACUUCGGGAUAAGCUUGGGAAACUGGGUCUAAUACCGGAUAGGAGCCAUCUUUAGUGUGGUGGUUGGAAAGUUUUUUCGGUGUAGGAUGAGCUCGCGGCCUAUCAGCUUGUUGGUGGGGUAAUGGCCUACCAAGGCGGCGACGGGUAGCCGGCCUGAGAGGGUGUACGGCCACAUUGGGACUGAGAUACGGCCCAGACUCCUACGGGUGGCAGCAGUGGGGAAUAUUGCACAAUGGGCGGAAGCCUGAUGCAGCAACGCCGCGUGCGGGAUGACGGCCUUCGGGUUGUAAACCGCUUUCGCCUGUGACGAAGCGUGAGUGACGGUAAUGGGUAAAGAAGCACCGGCUAACUACGUG
rnacentral:rRNA from 1 species